rnacentral:rRNA from 1 species
UACAGAGGUCCCAAGCGUUGUUCGGAUUCAUUGGGCGUAAAGGGUGCGUAGGUGGCGUCGUAAGUCGGGUGUGAAAUCUCGGGGCUUAACUCCGAAACUGCAUUCGAUACUGCGGUGCUUGAGGACUGGAGAGGAGACUGGAAUUCAUGGUGUAGCAGUGAAAUGCGUAGAGAUCAUGAGGAAGACCAGUGGCGAAGGCGGGUCUCUGGACAGUUCCUGACACUGAGGCACGAAGGCCAGGGGAGCAAACGGG